AAAAGAGACUCACCUGACGAAUCUCACCGGAGAGUCUAGAUCUCUCUUCUCUUCUACAUCGAAGUUUUGGUUCGUCACCGGCGACAAUCCUUUUCUCCGACGAUAUAAUGCCGGUAAAUUCAUCACGCAAUUAUAAGACGGUGAUAGAAGUGGAGCCUCCGAGUCUGUUGCGGUACUUGAUCGGAGCGGCGGUGAUGAUGAUCGGCGUUGUAUUACCCGUUGGUUACAUGAUGUUCCGCAACAAACGCGUCCCCUUCUCGUCUUCGUAUUCUAAACAGACGUGGGGAAUCCAUGGUUGAUAGAUGAUCAAAAUUUGUAGUUGCUUGCUUGCUUGCUCCUCUUCGUUAAAGCUUGUUUAGGCUAAAAUUGGAAGGAACAAAGUUUUGAUAUAGGCUCCUCCAAGGUUGAAUUCAACUGAAUUUGAGACGGAUGAUGACAUAUUGAUACGGACGACUGUAAAAUUAUGGCGGAAUUCUUAUUUUGAGUUUUUACAUGGGUUCAUGGGUUGUAAGAGAUCCUUCAAUGUCGCAUUCAUAAACCAUAAUCUUCUUGUUUAGGUUAUUAACGGUCUAUCAUGUACACAAUCUCUUCUCUUUGGUUGAAAGAUAUCAUUCGCUGGCUAGAAUCAUCAUGAGCUAUAAAUUUAUAUAAUACUGAGCUUAGUUCUUUGCAUUA